CUACAGCCACACCACCGUGAAUGCACCCGUUCUCGUCUGGUUUUAGAAGCUAAGCAGGGUCGGGUCUGGUUAGUACUUGGAUGGGAGAAUGUUAAGAGCCAAAAGAGUAGGACUGCUCACAAUGUGCU
rnacentral:rRNA from 1 species